AAAGUAGAAAUAGGGCUGGAGAGA
rnacentral:piRNA from 1 species